AGUUCAUCUUAGUUUGUACCAACAACAUUUCUCAUCAAACAUCAUGGCUACCUCACAAAUAGCUGUUAUCGUGCUUCUAGGAUUACUUGUUGCCACCAGCAUUCACAUUACAGAGGCUCAAUUAGGUGUUUGCUAUGGAAUGAUGGGGAACAACUUGCCAUCACAUUCCGAAGUUAUACAGCUCUACAAGUCAAGAAACAUUGGAAGAUUGAGGCUUUAUGAUCCGAAUCAUGGAGCUUUAAAUGCGUUAAGAGGAUCAAACAUUGAAGUGAUACUAGGACUUCCAAAUGUAGAUGUGAAACACAUUUCUUCUGGGAUGGAACACGCGAGAUGGUGGGUACAGAAGAACGUUAAAGAUUUCUGGCCAGAUGUUAAAAUUAAGUACAUAGCUGUUGGGAAUGAAAUCAGCCCUGUUACUGGCACAUCAUCUCUUACCUCAUUUCAAGUUCCUGCUUUGGUUAACAUUUAUAAAGCAAUCGGUGAAGCUGGUUUGGGAAAUGACAUUAAGGUCUCAACGUCAGUAGACAUGACGUUGAUUGGCAACUCUUAUCCACCAUCACAGGGUUCAUUUAGGAACGAUGUGAGAUGGUUCACUGAUCCGAUUGUUGGAUUUUUUGAGGGAUACGCGUGCACCUUUGCUCGUUAAUAUUUAUCCUUAUUUUAGUUAUUCUGGUAAUCCAGGACAGAUUUCACUUCCGUAUGCUCUUUUUACAGCACCUAAUGUGGUGGUACAAGAUGGAUCACGUCAAUAUAGGAACUUAUUUGAUGCUAUGUUGGAUUCUGUUUAUGCUGCGAUGGAACGAACAGGAGGAGGAUCUGUAGGAAUUGUUGUGUCAGAGAGUGGAUGGCCGUCUGCUGGUGCAUUUGGUGCCACACAAGACAAUGCAGAAACAUACUUGAGGAACUUAAUUCAACAUGCUAAAGAAGGUAGUCCGAGAAAGCCUGGACCUAUCGAGACUUAUAUAUUCGCCAUGUUUGAUGAGAAUAACAAGAAUCCAGAGCUUGAGAAACAUUUUGGAUUGUUUUCCCCAAACAAGCAGCCAAAAUACAACCUCAACUUUGGGGUGUCUGAGAGAGUUUGGGACAUUUCUGCUGAAACUAAUAGCACUGCUUCUUCCCUCAUAAGUGAGAUGUAAGAAGACACAUUUGAAAGCAUAUAGUAUCGGCAAAAAUACUUGUUCUUCAUGCAAUUUUAUGUUUGUAUGCAACAUCAAAUAAAUUCCUAGUGGUGGUUUAAAUUCCUUUUGUUUGUGAUAUUUGUGAUUUUGGGAUGAAACUUUUUGUAAGUUUGUAUAUUUCUUA